rnacentral:rRNA from 1 species
UAGGGAAUCUUCCGCAAUGGACGAAAGUCUUACGGAGCAACGCCGCGUGAGUGAAGAAGGAUUUCGGUUCGUAAAACUCUGUUGUUAGGGAAGAAAAAAUGUAUAGUAACUAUAUACAAAAGAGACGGUACCUAACCAGAAAGCCACGGCUAACUACGUGCCAGCAGCCGCGGUAAUACGUAGGUGGCAAGCGUUGUCCGGAAUUAUUGGGCGUAAAGCGCGCGCAGGUGGUUUAGAAAGUCUGAUGUGAAAGCCCACGGCUCAACCGUGGAGGGUCAUUGGAAACUAAUAAACUUGAGUGCAGGAGAGAAAAGUGGAAUUCCUAGUGUAGCGGUGAAAUGCGUAGAGAUUAGGAGGAACACCGGUGGCGAAAGCGGCUUUUUGGCCUGCAACUGACACUGAGGCGCGAAAGCGUGGGGAGCAAACAGG